rnacentral:lncRNA from 1 species
GGGAUUUUAUUUUAUUUUUAGGUUAAAAUAUGCCAUAAAUUUAUAUACUCUUCGAAUAUUUAGAAUUUAGUUUCUUUGCAUAUCAUAUUUUAAAAUACAUGUCUAAUUGUUAAUACUGUUAAAAUUAUUUUUGUUAAAUUUAGGUCCAUUGCAACAUCAUUCUUUUAGUUACCUGACUACCACAUGAGUAUUUUUUUAUUUAAAAAUAUCACACCAACAAAUUUAACCAAAAAAUAUUAACAAUGUUAACAGUUGAAUCUGAAUUUUGAAAUAUGAAAAGUAAAUGGACUAAAUUCCAAAUUUGUGAAAGGU